UUGGAUGAGUACAUAUGUGAU
ensembl:piRNA 21ur-59 ncRNA